GUGCGCGUGGGACCCGGGGGCUCACCUGGAAACGGCCCCUCCUCCCCCGCCGGGAGCUGCCUGUGAUCCUGGGAGGGGGCCCUGACCCAGCAGGUGAGCUGGCGCUCAGCCACCCAAACCAGACACAGAGAGCAGGCUGGACACUGCUGACCGGCAAGAUGACAGGGACAUUCUGGGAAUUCAGCUUUCUUCGCUGAUUUCCCCGCCCCUUCCCUGCCUUUCCCUCCUCUACUCUGUCCACCCCUCCUCUCCCCUCCCUCCCCUCCCUAUCUCUCUCUCCCCUUCCCUCUGCUCUUCCCACCAUGGACCCCAGGGAGUCUCUAACCCUCUGGAGACCCGCAGCCCAUUGCAUGCAACAAUAAAAGGUGCCAGCGCCUUGGCAGCUGCACCCGGGAUGCCGCCAAUCAGAGCAGCCGCUGCCAUGGGAACCGUGGUCCUGGCCCUCGCCCUCCUGGGCACUGCAGCCGCCACGGCCGACAACUGUCCAGGUGAGCCAGGCGCCAGGCGGGCCGGCCUGACCAAGGUCCCAG